rnacentral:rRNA from 1 species
GAUGAACGCUGGCGGCGUGCUUAACACAUGCAAGUCGAGCGAGAAGUUUUGAAAAGAUUCUUCGGAUGAAAUUUAAAAUGGAAAGCGGCGGACGGGUGAGUAACGCGUAGGCAACCUGCCCCAUACAAAGGGAUAGCAUUUGGAAACGAAUAUUAAUACCUUAUGAAACUUAACUAGUGCAUGCUAGGUAGGUCAAAGAUUUAUCUGUAUGGGAUGGGCCUGCGUCUGAUUAGCUAGUUGGUGAGGUAACGGCUCACCAAGGCGACGAUCAGUAGCCGACCUGAGAGGGUGAACGGCCACAUUGGAACUGAGACACGGUCCAAACUCCUACGGGAGGCAGCAGUGGGGAAUAGUGCACAAUGGGGGAAACCCUGAUGCAGCAACGCCGCGUGAACGAUGAAGGCCUUUGGGUCGUAAAGUUCUGUUCUAGGUGAUGAAAACUGACAGUAACCUAGGAGAAAGCCCCGGCUAACUCCGUG